rnacentral:misc_RNA from 1 species
GAUGAAGAACGUAGCGAAACGCGAAAGGUAAUGCGAAUUGCAGAAUCAGUGAGUCAUCGAAUCUUUGAACGCACAUUGCGCCCCUUGGUAUUCCGGGGGGCACGCCUGUUCGAGCGCCAUUACACACCCCAAGCUAAGCUUGAUGUUGGGCGAUGUCUGUCACAGGACACGCCUGGAACGUAUGGGCGCCGCCGCCGGAUCACGAGUUUAGCAAGACGCAAGUCAUCGCUCGGUCGGUCCUGGCGGUUGGCCGCCGCGGCUCAUGGUAACACAUGGGCCAGUAACUUUUCACAAGUUUGGCCUCGAAUCAGGCGGGGAUACCCGCUGAACUUAAGCAUAUCAAUAAGCGGAGGA